UACAGAGGGUGCAAGCGUUAAUCGGAAUUACUGGGCGUAAAGGGCCCGUAGGCGGCCAACUAAGUCGGAUGUGAAAUCCCCAGGCUUAACCUGGGAACUGCAUCCGAUACUGGAUGGCUUGAAUUCGGGAGAGGGAUGCAGAAUUCCAGGUGUAGCGGUGAAAUGCGCAGAUAUCAGGAGGAACACCGGUGGCGAAGGCGGUUCUCUGGGCCUUACCUGACGCUGAGGAGCGAAAGCGUGGGGAGCGAACAGG
rnacentral:rRNA from 1 species